AGUGAUUUCAUCUAAUCUUAUAAGAAUUAUUCAAAAUACGGAGCAUUUUAAUCAGUAUUACAUGAACAAUUUAUGACUUACCAGUUGAUAAAAAUGAUUAAAUUAUAGGUAUUGUGUAAAAUACAUACAUGGUAUCACACUUUAUUUAUUAACAUCUAAAAAAAUUAGAUAUUUAUGUGCCUAGAAGUCAUUUAAUAAAAAGGUUAUUUGGAAAAGAAAAUAUCAUCUGGGUCAUGCAGUUGAAAGCCAGUGUGUGGAUUUUGGUUGGCUUCAACGUUUUCUAGUGUUCAUAAUUCAGUGAGAAAAUUCAUUGUUGAGGUUGAUUAGAAAAUAAAUUCUAUAGACUACAAAUAUCAGAUUGUUGGUAAAUAAGGCGUCAAAAAAAAAUGACAAACUAUAAGUUAUAUUUUAGCUAUAAUAACAAGAAAUAUUUAAGGCUUAUGAUUGCUUAGAAGAUAAGGAUUAUCAACAUUCUAAAGUUAACCAUUCGUUGAAUUUUAAAAACCCUAAAACUGUACUAAAACAAAAUAGAGGGUCUUUGACAAAAAUCACUUUUAAAAAUAUGUAAAAUCAAAUUUAAAAGUUUUUUGGUAUGUAUGGUUAAACUCAACAAUGUUUGUGUCUAAUUUACAGUUAAGAGAUAAUACAUG